rnacentral:tRNA from 1 species
GGCCUUGUAGCUCAGUGGUUAGAGCACUGGUCUUGUAAACUAGAAGUUUUUGAGUUCAAACCUCACCUGAGCCU